rnacentral:lncRNA from 1 species
GUAAAUAGUUCUCUAGCGUGUAUUUUGAAAUAGUUAAUCUUAAAGGAAGUCAGUGUAUUGCAUUAACACACAUUGUAGCUGUUCUGAGUUUGCUGCAUAAUUGUAUUUCAGCAACUUGGACUUCAUAGAAGAAGUGGGGUUGAGUGGAAUAUUUUCUAACACCGUGUCUCCAAAGUGAUCUUGAAGAACUCUGCAGUUGUUCAGUGCCUUCUGUUUGGGAAGUCAGAUGCCACAUAUGAGUGUCCAGAGGCUGCAUCAGUGAAAAAGAAAGAAUUUAUCAUACUUAAAGGCUGAUCAUGCAGCAGAAUUACUUCGGACAGAAAUAACACGCUUAACUAGGCUUGAGGGACUGAAAUUGGACUCAAAUGAAAGAAUCUCCUCAAUAACUUGUUUUACUGGUGAGUUGUUUGAAUGGCAGCAUAAGCACCAGGGGAUGGGGAACUCCACCUUGCCAUGGAUAG